rnacentral:lncRNA from 1 species
AGUAUUUGUAGGAGGCCACCAGAGAGACAGGAUUGCAAGGUUUUAAAUAUGCUAGUGUCAUGAGGUCAUGGAUUUCCUACCUGAAACAGAUAGUGUGACUGCCCUGCUAUAGCCAUGUUUGGCCAGUGUAGGAAUUUUGAGAACAGUGAACACUUAAUACUCAGAUGGCAUUUUGCCACCCCGACAAGGACCAUACCUGCCAUUCCAUUGUAGUUCGCCUUGCCCAGAAGUUUUAAAAUUUUUCUUUCAGCCUGGGAUUUCAAGUGUACUACAGCAUCCUCUUCACCUAUACAAGCGUCUGUUGUUUUAAAAGGAAACUGAUAUAAUUUGAGCAAAUAAUUUGAAGAUGGGUAAAUAGAAGUUUGACUGAAGCUGAUGAAAAUGAAGGAAAAGAGGGAGAAGAAACCAGCUGCCUGGAAGACUGACCCUCUGAGAUGCUCUGGAGCCGUGCAGUUGUUCUCACUGGCAGAUCAGUCCUGUCCCUCCAAUAAAAGAGAGGGUGAUCUUGGUGUGAGAUGUUCUCUUUUGAAGUGUGAUCAAAGCUUUGAGCUCAGGGAUUGCUUAGCAAGGUGGAAUUCUUUCUUUCUCUUGAGAGUUUAAAUGACCUCUGUAAUUGAUAGGCAUCGUAGUCACAAAAUGAAGUUUUGAAGUGGAGAAGAUAAAAGGUCACUACCUUGGAAAAUAGUGAGAAUUUCUUUCCUUUGGUGUUGCCUUCAUUUCACACUUGAUAAUUCUGUAAGGUUCUGAUUGUCACCCUGCAGCAGUUUCCAUAUGACUCAGAAAAAGCCCCCAGGCUCUUGCUACCCAGCUUGAGAUCAUUAAAAUGCUUGAGUGAACUUUGGAGUUCCUGUCUGUUGAAUAGAGAUGACACUGACCAGAGAGGGAAACUUACGUAGGAGGUGUGUCUGGGUCAGGCAUCAAAAUGCUGUGGAAUUGUCUCAAAAGAGAAACACUAACAUUUUGCAAUGCUUUCAUAGGGGCAUAUUCAAGAAU